rnacentral:rRNA from 1 species
GGGAGGCAGCAGUGAGGAAUUUUGGACAAUGGGGGCAACCCUGAUCCAGCCAUUCCGCGUGAGUGAAGAAGGCCUUCGGGUUGUAAAGCUCUUUCGGCAGGAACGAAACGGUGAGGGCUAAUACCCUUUACUAAUGACGGUACCUGAGGAAGAAGCACCGGCUAACUACGUGCCAGCAGCCGCGGUAAUACGUAGGGUGCGAGCGUUAAUCGGAAUUACUGGGCGUAAAGCGUGCGCAGGCGGUUCCAUAAGACAGAUGUGAAAUCCCCGGGCUUAACCUGGGAACUGCGUUUGUGACUGUGGGACUGGAGUGUGGCAGAGGGGAGUGGAAUUCCACGUGUAGCAGUGAAAUGCGUAGAGAUGUGGAGGAACACCGAUGGCGAAGGCAGCCCCCUGGGUCAACACUGACGCUCAUGCACGAAAGCGUGGGGAGCAAACAGGAUUAGAAACCCCGGUAGUCCG